GACGAACGCUGGCGGCGUGCCUAACACAUGCAAGUCGAGCGAGUAGAUUUCCUUCGGGAAUGAAGCUAGCGGCGGACGGGUGAGUAACACGUGGGCAACCUGCCUCAUAGAGGGGAAUAGCCUCCCGAAAGGGAGAUUAAUACCGCAUAAGAUUGUAGCUUCGCAUGAAGUAGCAAUUAAAGGAGCAAUCCGCUAUGAGAUGGGCCCGCGGCGCAUUAGCUAGUUGGUGAGGUAACGGCUCACCAAGGCGACGAUGCGUAGCCGACCUGAGAGGGUGAUCGGCCACAUUGGGACUGAGACACGGCCCAGACUCCUACGGGAGGCAGCAGUGGGGAAUAUUGCACAAUGGGGGAAACCCUGAUGCAGCAACGCCGCGUGAGUGAUGACGGCCUUCGGGUUGUAAAGCUCUGUCUUCAGGGACGAUAAUGACGGUACCUGAGGAGGAAGCCACGGCUAACUACGUGCCAGCCGCCGCCGUAAUAC
rnacentral:rRNA from 1 species